rnacentral:rRNA from 1 species
ACGGGAGGCAGCAGUGAGGAAUAUUGGUCAAUGGAGGCAACUCUGAACCAGCCAUCUCGCGUGAAGGAAUACGGCCCUAUGGGUCUUAAACUUCUUUUAUAGGGGGAUAAAGUGAGCCACGUGUGGCUUUUUGUAGGUACCCUAUGAAUAAGCAUCGGCUAACUCCGUGCCAGCAGCCGCAGUAAUACGGAGGAUGCGAGCGUUAUCCGGAUUUAUUGGGUUUAAAGGGUGCGCAGGCGGCACGUUAAGUCAGCGGUGGAAUGUCGGGGCUCAACCCGGGCACUGCCGUUGAAACUGGCGAGCUUGAGUACGGAUGAAGUCGGCGGAAUGUGAUGUGUAGCGGUGAAAUGCUUAGAUAUGUCACAGAACACCGAUUGCGAAGGCAGCUUACCAGCAUACGACUGACGCUGAGGCACGAAAGUGUGGGGAUCAAACAGGAUUAGAUACCCUGGUA